UAGAUUGAAAAAGAACAUAAUCAUAUGAAUUUUAACUCCAUAGAAUUUGCUUGGAAGUGUUUGCUUUAAAUGAGAGUUUUGCACAUUGUGAGCAAUGACAAGAUUUAACAAGGAGGGAACCUGUCACUGAAAAACAUUUUGAGCCAGUGUCUGGAGACCAAGAACCAAGCUUCAUUCAAACAGCCCACUAGUGAAUUUUUAACUAUCAGGCUAGCCAAAAUUUGACCACGUGUAUGCAAUUACAGAGCCUGAAAUCCUUCAUGAUUUUUCCACUACAUACUGAAUGAAUUCUACCAGGACUUUUUUUUAAAAGAUUUUAUUUAUUUAUUUGUGAGAGACACAGGAAGAGAGGCAGAGACACAGGAAGAGGGAAAAGCAGGCUCCUUGCAGGAAGCUGGAUGUUGGACUCAAUCCCAGACCCCGGGAUCUCGCCCUGAGUCCAAGGCAGACAUUCAAUCACAGAGCCACCCAGGCAUCUUAACACGGUUAUAAGCAGAGGCAGAUAAUCUUCCCAAUCAUCAUAUAAGACUUACAUCAUGGCUCUUUCUGUCCUCCUUAGCCCAACCAAAAAGAUGGACCAUCUGAAAGACUUAAUUAGAAGUACAAUGGUAGAAACAUUUAAGAAAGAAGUAGAGCCCAGCAUGAAUCUCAUGAUCUAUAAGUGUACCUGAAGUCAGAAGACAUCAAUGAAAAAAUCUACCUUUUAUUACUGAUAAUUCAGGAAUCUUGAUAAUUUGGGAAUUCUGCAUCUUUUAGCUACUCUUAUCUCUAAAAUUUGAUUUUUUUUCUCUGAAAUGUAUAACUGAAAUACUUGAAUUGACUUUUUUUAGCAUUUAUCAUAAUAUUUAGUCAUAAUGAAGAAAUUCUGCCCUAAGGAAACGGCAAUUUUGCAUCAAGUAGAUCAGUUUAGCCAUGAAUUUCUGUACUAAAUGCAGUCCUCAAUAUUGAUCAAAAUAAUGAAAAAAGGAUGAAAUUAAUCCUGAAAUUAUCCUGUAAAACAUUUCUUGCCUUCAAGCUGAUGUUCACACCUUCCAUUCUUGGUAACUCUGGAGUCAGAGGAGAGCUUAACAGAACUAGUGAAUACCAUCCUCAGAAAGGAUCCCCACUAGACUGUCUGCAUUUGGGCACUUUCCAGGGAAGAACUGUGUCUAAACAGCACGAGUGCUAUGCAGCUCUGCCCCCCAUAACCGACUACCACAUGAUGGAUUCCCUCAAGUGCAUUAAUAUGUAUAUGUUUCAGAGAGGAGAUGUUCUUAUUGUAUUCUCUCUUACCCACAAAUUCAAAAUCUAAGAAUAUGUGACAAUAAUUAUUUUAAGUGAGUUUAUUUUUUCUAACCAAUUUAACAUAGUAACUUCAUGUAAAAUAACACUAUUAUCACCAAGUGAUAUAACUACUGAGUAUGAAAAAGAAAGCUAAAAUUACUAAAAUAUCUACCACUGUG
rnacentral:lncRNA from 1 species